AGUGAACGCUGGCGGUAGGCCUAACACAUGCAAGUCGAACGGCAGCACAGUAAGAGCUUGCUCUUACGGGUGGCGAGUGGCGGACGGGUGAGGAAUACAUCGGAAUCUACUUUUUCGUGGAGGAUAACGUGGGGAAACUUACGCUAAUACCGCAUACGACCUACGGGUGAAAGCGGGGGAUCUUCGGACCUUGCGCGAUUGAAUGAGCCGAUGUCGGAUUAGCUAGUUGGCGGGGUAAAGGCCCACCAAGGCGACGAUCCGUAGCUGGUCUGAGAGGAUGAUCAGCCACACUGGAACUGAGACACGGUCCAGACUCCUACGGGAGGCAGCAGUGGGGAAUAUUGGACAAUGGGCGCAAGCCUGAUCCAGCCAUACCGCGUGGGUGAAGAAGGCCUUCGGGUUGUAAAGCCCUUUUGUUGGGAAAGAAAAGCAGCAGGUUAAUACCCCGCUGUUCUGACGGUACCCAAAGAAUAAGCACCGGCUAACUUCGUG
rnacentral:rRNA from 1 species